UGUGGUUUUAGGAAUUAGGAUUGAGAUAGUGGAAACUAGAAUUGCUAGGUUGCUUGGGUAGCACUGUUAGGUUGCUGGUUAGAAUUACGGUUAGGUUGCAUUGUUAGUAUUUGCUGGGUUAGUAGAUUAUGUGAUUAAUUGUCUACUAACUUGCAUGUGAGGUGUUCUUUUGAGUUGCAGCGAGUAAGUGCGUUUGUUGAUCGGUACUUUAAGGGAUGAAAACCUUAAAGUGGAGGGAGUUCGAGGCAAAACCCAAACACGAAGCGAAAGAGGAGAGACAGAUUCAGAGAACUGGGCUGUGGUAUGGACUGGACAGAUGGGAAGAAACAAGACUUCGUUGGGAAAGGACUUCAUCAGUACUUGGGAAGACGAAGAUCGAGAAGGAUUUGAGGAAUCUGGACAAGGAUGAUAUCUAUCAAAAUGACAAGAUAGUAUCAUGGGCGAUGAGUGUGUUAUGACAGAGUAAAAGCAAGAGGACGACUCAGUCAUCAUACAAGUGAAGAGAUAUAAAGACAAUUGUGGAGGCCUUGAAGAGGACACUGAAGGAACCGUGGUGGACAGAGUAAAGAGGUUAUGGAGACGACUGGAGAGUGUUGUGAAGACGAGCAAUUUCGCAACUAAGAAUUCGAGGACAAAUUCUAUUAAGGGGGGGGGAGAGAAUGUAGAAACCCGUUAAAAAAAAAAGAAGAAUGGUCGAGUAUUUGUGGUCAUCGAGUCGCGGGCGAUAAGGAUCGAUCGAAAACCUUUGAAGUACGAGGUGGACGAAGAAGUGAUCCUGAGUGAACUAUGAGUCGAAUAAGUUGCUCGACCAUAGUUAGAAGAUGUCUUAGAUUGAUGAGACGGACGUUUUGGAAGCAUAACAUUUUUGGAAGCACGACGGUAUAGAAGCUCGACGUUUUGGAAGAAUGACGUUUCUUCAGCACGAAGUUUUCCGCGAAACUUCGUAUCAGCGGAAUAUUAUUUCGAAGACAUUGGAAACAUGAUGGGAAUUAAGCACGACGGGAAGCAAGCACGACGAGAAGCAAGCACGACGGAAUCGAAGCACGACGGGAAAACCCGAAAUUGGACGAAAACCCUAAUUUCGAUAUUAUGAAAUUUUUCGAGGAAGCCGGAGGCUCAGGACAUAUUUUCCCUCAACUUCAGAGAUCAAGUGGAGUUUAUUAAAAUUGUUCCGAGCUUCAGAAAGGGUGU